rnacentral:rRNA from 1 species
AGCAGCCGCCGCGGUAACACGGAGGGUGCAAGCGUUAUCCGGAUUCACUGGGUUUAAAGGGUGCGUAGGCGGAUUCUUAAGUCCGUGGUGAAAUCUCCAAGCUUAACUUGGAAACUGCCAUGGAUACUAUUAGUCUUGAAUGUUGUGGAGGUUAGCGGAAUAUGUCAUGUAGCGGUGAAAUGCAUAGAUAUGACAUAGAACACCAAUUGCGAAGGCAGCUGGCUACACAAAUAUUGACGCUGAGGCACGAAAGCGUGGGGAUCAAACAGGAUUAGAUACCCGCGUAGUCCCUGUCUCUUAUAC